GUGUCAGCCGCCGCGGUAAUACGUAGGUGGCAAGCGUUGUCCGGAUUUAUUGGGCGUAAAGCGAGCGCAGGCGGUUUCUUAAGUCUGAUGUGAAAGCCCCCGGCUCAACCGUGGAGGGUCAUUGGAAACUGGAAAACUUGAGUGCAGAAGAGGAAAGUGGAAUUCCACGUGUAGCGGUGAAAUGCGCAGAGAUAUGGAGGAACACCAGUGGCGAAGGCGACUUUCUGGUCUGUAACUGACGCUGAUGUGCGAAAGCGUGGGGAUCAAACAGGAUUAGAAACC
rnacentral:rRNA from 1 species